AUUGAACGCUGGCGGCAGGCUUAACACAUGCAAGUCGAGCGGGGUGAUGGUGCUUGCACUAUCACUUAGCGGCGGACGGGUGAGUAAUGCUUAGGAAUCUGCCUAUUAGUGGGGGACAACAUCUCGAAAGGGAUGCUAAUACCGCAUACGUCCUACGGGAGAAAGCAGGGGAUCACUUGUGACCUUGCGCUAAUAGAUGAGCCUAAGUCGGAUUAGCUAGUUGGUGGGGUAAUGGCCUACCAAGGCUGCGAUCGGUAGCUGGUCUGAGAGGACGACCAGCCAAACUGGGACUGAGACACGGCCCAGGCUCCUACGGGAGGCAGCAGUGGGGAAUAUUGGACAAUGGGGGAAACCCUGACGCAGCAACGCCGCGUGAGUGAUGAAGGCCUUCGGGUCGUAAAGCUCUGUCAGAGGGGAAGAAAUGACGAGGUGCUAAUACCACUUCUUCUUGACGGUACCCUCAAAGGAAGCACCGGCUAACUCCGUGCCAGCAGCCGCAGUAA
rnacentral:rRNA from 1 species